GCUGGGCAUGGUGGCACGUGCCUGUAGUCCCAGCUACUCAGGAGGCUGAGGCAGGAGAAUCGCUUGAACCUGGGAGGCGGAGUUGCAGUGAGCCGAGAUCACGCCACUGCACUCCAGCCUGGGUGACAGAGCGAGACUCUGCCUCAA
rnacentral:sRNA from 1 species